GUGUGUCUCUGGCUGAGGAAGAAAGGGCUUGAGAUGCUGGAUCCACACCUGAGCUGCUCCAAAUGCAGUGUCCUGCCGCAUGUCUCUAUCAAGUGUCCUUAGGAAAAAUAUUUCCUUCAAGACCACAAGGGAAAAAGAACAGAGAUUAAUAUGCAGUCAAGGUCAUGCUUUGGGCCAAAAAGCAGCAGAAGUGUGUGUCCAUGCUUUGAGGCUGCUGAGAAGACUGCUGCACUCUUGAAGCUGCCACCUGACUGCACCCUGAGAAGGUAGACAAUUCUGGGUUGCAGCUAUUGUACUGAAUGCCAGUUUUCAAGAACAAGAUGGUCCACAAGCUUAGCUCAUUAAUGAAGACACAACCUGGCAUUCCUCACUUGUGCAGCUGCUGGUACACUGGCCUUUGAUUUUAAAUCACCUCAACAGGAUAAGAGUUUACAGUCUCUGAAGGACAUGAUGUAUGUGAAGUGCUUGUCUGAAAGAAGCAUCCAACCUGAACUUUCUCAGGCUGAUGUUACUGGGUUCUGUGUACUUGUCUCUCACCUAUUUUGCAUGAUCUCAUGUCUGGGUACUGUGAUGGUUCAGAUUACUUCUUCCAGAUGAUGGUAAACCACAGAGACCACUGAGGCUGUUCUGGACAACAGGUCUAGGUUUAAAGGUGGUGCGAAUCACCUUUAGGGCCUUUCUACCCUCCCCAUCCAAGCUCCUCCUGCAGUUUUUGAUGAACUUGGGUGGCACAGCAAUUUCAGGCUAGUUUCAGCUCAUCCAUGAAAUCAGUGCUGACAACAAUAUCAAAGCUAUUAGGAAAUUCAUUUGUGGAAGGUCUCUCAUUUAACAGUCUAUUUUUACUCAAGCAUUUCAGCGUCUCGGGGUAGCACAUAUAACACUUACUGACCUUUUG